UGGGGAAUAUUGGACAAUGGGCGCAAGCCUGAUCCAGCCAUGCCGCGUGAGUGAUGAAGGCCCUAGGGUUGUAAAGCUCUUUCACCGGUGAAGAUAAUGACGGUAACCGGAGAAGAAGCCCCGGCUAACUUCGUGCCAGCAGCCGCGGUAAUACGAAGGGGGCUAGCGUUGUUCGGAUUUACUGGGCGUAAAGCGCACGUAGGCGGACUAUUAAGUCAGGGGUGAAAUCCCGGGGCUCAACCCCGGAACUGCCUUUGAUACUGGUAGUCUUGAGUUCGAGAGAGGUGAGUGGAAUUCCGAGUGUAGAAGUGAAAUUCGUAGAUAUUCGGAGGAACACCAGUGACGAAGGCGGCUCACUGGCUCGAUACUGACGCUGAGGUGCGAAAGCGUGGGGAGCAAACAGG
rnacentral:rRNA from 1 species